rnacentral:lncRNA from 1 species
AGACCCUCUCCCUCUUCUGCAACCACCUCUCCAGGCCCAUCCCCGCUAACAUUGCCUCCAUCCAAAGCCUCAUUCGCCUUUGAACUCUCCCACGACAACCUCCCCGACUCCAUCCUUUCGAGAUCGAUGCCUUGGAGUCCCUCUCCCAUCUCGAUCUCUCCUCCAACGUCCUCAAUGGCUCCAUCCCUACAGAGAUGCUGGAACACGGAACAGAUAGGCUGAAAUUCAGGCUCGGGCUUGAGCCCAAAAUUCGGA